rnacentral:rRNA from 1 species
ACGUAGGCGGCAAGCGUUGUCCGGAAUUAUUGGGCGUAAAGGGAGCGCAGGCGGGAAACUAAGCGGAUCUUAAAAGUGCGGGGCUCAACCCCGUGAUGGGGUCCGAACUGGUUUUCUUGAGUGCAGGAGAGGAAAGCGGAAUUCCCAGUGUAGCGGUGAAAUGCGUAGAUAUUCGGAAGAACACCAGUGGCGAAGGCGGCUUUCUGGCCUGUAACUGACGCUGAGGCUCGAAAGCUAGGGUAGCGAACGG